rnacentral:misc_RNA from 2 species
AACGCACAUUGCGCUCCCUGGUAUUCCGGGGAGCAUGCCUGUUCGAGCGUCAUUAUCAACCUUCAAGCCCUGCUUGGUAUUGGGUGUCGUCCUUCGUGGACGUGCCUUAAUUGCUUUGGCGGCGGUUUCAAACCUCAAGCGUAGUAGAAUCAUUUAUUUAGCUUUCUAGGUUUUGGAGCGGCUUUGCCUCUAGAAAACACAUAAACUCAAGGUUGACCUCGGAUCAGGUAGGGAUACCCGCUGAACUUAA